GAUCGAGUGAGAAGGACUUGUCAUUUCCAAUUGGCAUUAGUUGGCACAGAAGAGAAACGACUGGCGUUCUUUGUUAAACCCGGUCAGAAUCGCUUAAGCGGUUACUGCGCCAAAUAAGAAGAGCUAUCGCCUGUAAGCAAAAGAUAAUGCUUUGAAGGUUUUCCUUUUAUUAUCUUUUUUCCAGAUUCAAAGCAUAUCCAGAUUUCCAAAAGCUGUAGUAUAUUUAAUUGUUAAUUAAACAGAGGAACGACUUCGUUUAACUUCAAUACCUCCGCUCGAAAAAGCAUCGGAGGGACGUUCUACCCCAAUGACUUGAGACUGAAUGAAUAUUUAAGAUUCUUAAGCACCAGACGUUUACUUUCGUUUUAAUUUAUGUUCAUAUCGCUACCUAAAGGUGCCAGUCCCCUUUUUUUAAAGUUAGUAUUCGAUGCAGAAUGACAGAUAAUGCGAACCUACAUCGAUUUUUCGUCUCUCCUGAAAAAAAUUCAAAUAUGGACUUGGCUCCUUUUGACGUUUAGGAUAAGCAAACAAGUUUUUAAUUAACAUAGAAAAAGUUUUGAGGGAAGGCUAUUCUAAAAAUCACAAUAAAUGUCAUAAUUUUCAAGAAAUGGUUUCAUUCUUAAUAUAUAUAUAUAUUUACAUAUAGGGGAUACGAAAACGAAGACAAAUACGAAUACGAAAACAAAUACGAAGAGUAACCGAGGACAAAUUCGAAGACCGAUGCGAUGACUAAGAUAAACACGAAUACGAAGACGGAUUCGAACGCGAGUAGGGAGACAAA